CCUACGGGUGGCAGCAGUGAGGAAUAUUGGUCAAUGGGCGCGAGCCUGAACCAGCCAAGUAGCGUGAAGGAUGACUGCCCUACGGGUUGUAAACUUCUUUUAUAAAGGAAUAAAGUGAGGCAUGUGUGCCUUUUUGUAUGUACGUUAUGAAUAAGGAUCGGCUAACUCCGUGCCAGCAGCCGCGGUAAUACGGAGGAUUCGAGGGUUUUCCGGAUUGAUUGGGUUUAAAGGGAGCGUAGAUGGGUUGUUAAGUCAGUUGUGAAAGUUUGCGGCUCAACCGUAAAAUUGCAAUUGAUACUGGCAGUCUUGAGUACAGUUGAGGUAGGCGGAAUUCGUGGUGUAGCGGUGAAAUGCGUAGAUAUCACGAAGAACUCCGGUUGCGAAGGCAGCUUACUAAACUGCCACUGACAUUGAUGCUCGAAAGUGUGGGUAUCAAACAGGAUUAGAUACCCCUGUAGUC
rnacentral:rRNA from 1 species